rnacentral:rRNA from 1 species
AUUGAACGCUGGCGGCAGGCCUAACACAUGCAAGUCGAGCGGCAGCGGGACCUUCGGGUUGCCGGCGAGCGGCGGACGGGUGAGUAAUGCCUAGGAAUCUGCCUGUUAGUGGGGGAUAACGCGGGGAAACUCGCGCUAAUACCGCAUACGUCCUACGGGAGAAAGUGGGGGACCUUCGGGCCUCACGCUAACAGAUGAGCCUAGGUCGGAUUAGCUAGUGGGUGGGGUAACGGCCCACCAAGGCGACGAUCCGUAACUGGUCUGAGAGGAUGAUCAGUCACACUGGGACUGAGACACGGGCCAGGCGCCUACGGGAGGCAGCAGUGGGGAAUAUUGGACGAUGGGCGAAAGCCUGAUCCAGCCAUGCCGCGUGUGUGAAGAAGGUCUUCGGAUUGUAAAGCACUUUGAGCCGGGAGGAAGGGCUGUAGGCGAAUACCCUGCAGUCUUGACGUUACCGGCAGAAUAAGCACCGGCUAACUGCGUGCCAGCCGCCGCGGUAAGAC